rnacentral:rRNA from 1 species
ACGUAGGUGGCAAGCGUUGUCCGGAAUUAUUGGGCGUAAAGGGCUCGCAGGCGGUUUCUUAAGUCUGAUGUGAAAGCCCCCGGCUCAACCGGGGAGGGUCAUUGGAAACUGGGAAACUUGAGUGCAGAAGAGGAGAGUGGAAUUCCACGUGUAGCGGUGAAAUGCGUAGAGAUGUGGAGGAACACCAGUGGCGAAGGCGACUCUCUGGUCUGUAACUGACGCUGAGGAGCGAAAGCGUGGGGAGCGAACAGGAUUAGAUACCCUGGUAGUCCACGCCGUAAACGAUGAGUGCUAAGUGUUAGGGGGUUUCCGCCCCUUAGUGCUGCAGCUAACGCAUUAAGCACUCCGCCUGGGGAGUACGGUCGCAAGACUGAAACUCAAAGGAAUUGACGGGGGCCCGCACAAGCGGUGGAGCAUGUGGUUUAAUUCGAAGCAACGCGAAGAACCUUACCAGGUCUUGACAUCCUCUGACAACCC